AUCUCCUUUGGAAUACUCUGUAAUGAUUGUUGCCAAGUCUUUAUGACUUUGUGCAUAAUCAUUACGAGAGGAUCAAUGCAUAUAAGUUUAGAAUCUAACAGAUUUCAGUAAAUGACAUGAAUUUGGAAUUCUUGCAUUUGCAGUAAGGAUUUGGGAGUGUGAAAAGAGAAUCANGUCAAGUGCUAGGAGGCUAAUGGGUUGCAACAAAGAAGUGCAAUGCCCCUAAUGAAAGUUUAAGGUCAAAAGACCAUAUUCAUUAGAGUUUACGGCCCAGGGGAGUAAGCUCCUGGCCGUAAACUCUCAAACAAGUCAUGAAAUGGAGUUUAAAAGUACUACAACCUUAGAGGGGAAUUGUUUCAAGGCUAUACAAGUGUUUGGGCACCACAUUGACUCCUUUGGGGAGUUUACGGCCCAAAGACCCUUCUCCCUUGGAGUUUACGGCCGUAAACUCCCUUGGGAGGGUUCUUAUUGUCCUUUCAAGUCUCUAACAUUUCUAGGAACAAGUCUAGGCUUCAAUACUUGGAUCAAGGGAGGUUUAUGGCAUUAAAUGGAACCAUUUGAUGGAGUUUACGGCCAUAGAACUCUUUGGGCCGUAAACUCCCUCACACAUGAGGUUCUAAGAAUUUUAACUAGCCCAAAACUCAUCUAGGUACUUGCCCUAAAAGUCUCUUGGCCUAAGGAAGUGUCUAGGGUGUCCUUUGACCCCUUUAAAGGAGUUUACGGCCCAAGAAAUACUCUUGGCCGUAAACUCUUCAACACUUGAGCUUUUCAUGAUUUUUCUAGGUCCUAAACACAUUAAGGUACUAGCCAAAAAUGAAGACUAAGCCUUAGGAAGAGUUUGAAGUGGUUUUGGCACUUAAUCUUGGAGUUUACGGCCUAAGGAGCAUCUUGGCCGUAAACUCCCUUCCAAAGUUGGUUUCUAAUUGUUUUGUGGGUCUAAAUCAUGAGUUUAAGGCUUCUAGGUUCUUGUUCUAAGGCUAAAGGAACACUAGGCACUCAUUUGUGCCCUUUACUUGGAGUUUACGGCCCAAGAGGUUGUUCCUUGGCCGUAAACUCCUCAAACUACUUGCUUUUGAUUUGUUUCUAGCCUCUAAUGAUCAUACACUAAGUCCUUAGUUAGAUGCCUAACACGGAAAUGGGACUAGGUGGCCUUUAGGCUUGAUUUUGGAGUUUACUCCCCAAGAACGUUCUUGGGCGGUAAACUCCCGGAUCUUGUGUUUUGGACAUGUAAACAAUGUUAUAAAGCAUAUAACAAGUAUUAAAACACAUUUAGGGAAGUAGACUCACAAUCUGGGAUGAAAACCCGAAGAUCCGUGAGAGAGUAUUUGGCUUUUCUCUAAAUGGAAAUCAAAUAAUGAACCAAUUUGGUUCAGAAUUCUAUUUAUAGUCCAGAGAUUUUUGGCAGAAAAUAUUUCUAUUCUCGGAAUGGAUUCUAAUGACCUAGAGUAAUGGAAUUACAGUGUUGCACAAAAUCCUAGUGCACCCACUCUCCUAAUAACUCCUUAGGUGUAAAACCCUAAAACUGCCAAACUUAUUCCAAAAGUUUGAAUUUUCACUGAAACUGCUCUACUUCCAUUGGAUUGAUGUGGUUUGAUUUGAAUGGAAAAUUUCGGGUUGUCACAGUUAAGGGGUAUGAACUCACCUGCAGUAUGUGACUGGAAUUGAACGGGCUGUUAUCGUACGGAAGGAUCAGACAAGUGCUUGGUGUCAAGUGAAGACUUAGACACACACAAUGAUCCUAAUUACAUAUGAAACAUAUGUAUAUAAAUAAUUAGUGAUUAUAACACUAAUUAUACAAGUAAUAACAUUUAAGCGCGAGGACAACACUUUUGGUCAAGUGCUAGGAGGCUAAUGGGUUGCAACAAAGAAGUGCAAUGCCCCUAAUGAAAGUUUAAGGUCAAAAGACCAUAUUCAUUAGAGUUUACGGCCCAGGGGAGUAAGCUCCUGGCCGUAAACUCUCAAACAAGUCAUGAAAUGGAGUUUAAAAGUACUACAACCUUAGAGGGGAAUUGUUUCAAGGCUAUACAAGUGUUUGGGCACCACACUGACUCCUUUGGGGAGUUUACGGCCCAAAGACCCUUCUCCCUUGGAGUUUACGGCCGUAAACUCCCUUGGGAGGGUUCUUAUUGUCCUUUCAAGUGUCUAACAAUUCUAGGAACAAGUCUAGGCUUCAAUACUUGGAUUAAGGGAGGUUUAAGGCACUAAAUGGGACCAUUUGAUGGAGUUUACGGCCAUAGAACUCUUUGGGCCGUAAACUCCCUCACACAUGAGGUCCUAAG
rnacentral:lncRNA from 1 species